AGUGGCUUCUGUCGUCUCUAG
rnacentral:miRNA from 1 species